CUACGGGGGGCUGCAGUGAGGAAUAUUGCACAAUGGGGGGAACCCUGAUGUAGCAACGCCGCGUGGAGGAUGACGCAUUUCGGUGUGUAAACUCCUUUUAUAUGUCAAGAAAAUGACGGUAGCAUAUGAAUAAGCACCGGCUAACUCCGUGCCAGCAGCCGCGGUAAUACGGAGGGUGCAAGCGUUACUCGGAAACACUGGGCGUAAAGGACGCGUAGGCGGGUUGGAAAGUCAGGUGUGAAAUCCUACAGCUUAACUGUAGAACUGCACUUGAAACUUCUAAUCUAGAGUAUGGGAGGGGGAGAUGGAAUUAGUGGUGUAGGGGUAAAAUCCGUAGAUAUCACUAGGAAUACCUAAAGCGAAGGCGAUCUCCUGGAACAUUACUGACGCUAAGGCGUGAAAGCGUGGGGAGCAAACAGGAUUAGAUACCCCCGUAGUC
rnacentral:rRNA from 1 species